rnacentral:rRNA from 1 species
GUCGAACGGUAACAUUUCUAGCUUGCUAGAAGAUGACGAGUGGCGGACGGGUGAGUAAUGCUUGGGAACUUGCCUUUGCGAGGGGGAUAACAGUUGGAAACGACUGCUAAUACCGCAUAAUGUCUUCGGACCAAACGGGGCUUCGGCUCCGGCGCAAAGAGAGGCCCAAGUGAGAUUAGCUAGUUGGUAAGGUAACGGCUUACCAAGGCGACGAUCUCUAGCUGUUCUGAGAGGAAGAUCAGCCACACUGGGACUGAGACACGGCCCAGACUCCUACGGGAGGCAGCAGUGGGGAAUAUUGCACAAUGGGGGAAACCCUGAUGCAGCCAUGCCGCGUGUGUGAAGAAGGCCUUCGGGUUGUAAAGCACUUUCAGUUGUGAGGAAAAGUUAGUAGUUAAUACCUGCUAGCCGUGACGUUAACAACAGAAGAAGCACCGGCUAACUCCGUGCCAGCAGCCGCGGUAAUACGGAGGGUGCGAGCGUUAAUCGGAAUUACUGGGCGUAAAGCGCACGCAGGCGGUUUGUUAAGCUAGAUGUGAAAGCCCCGGGCUCAACCUGGGAUGGUCAUUUAGAACUGGCAGACUAGAGUCUUGGAGAGGGGAGUGGAAUUCCAGGUGUAGCGGUGAAAUGCGUAGAUAUCUGGAGGAACAUCAGUGGCGAAGGCGACUCCCUGGCCAAAGACUGACGCUCAUGUGCGAAAGUGUGGGUAGCGAACAGGAUUAGAUACCCUGGUAGUCCACACCGUAAACGCUGUCUACUAGCUGUGUGUGUCUUUAAGACGUGCGUAGCGAAGCUAACGCGCUAAGUAGACCGCCUGGGGAGUACGGCCGCAAGGUUAAAACUCAAAUGAAUUGACGGGGGCCCGCACAAGCGGUGGAGCAUGUGGUUAAUUCGAUGCAACGCGAAGACCUUACCUACACUUGACAUGCUGAGAAGUACUAGAGAUAGUUUCGUGCCUUCGGGACUCAGA